CAGUUCUCUUCAGUUGAUCUUGUUUGGACUUGAUCAAAUCAGAGAAACUUUGUACCGAAUCGAACCAGUUUACGUUGCCGAAAGUUAGUGUGGAUUUUGGCCGGUUGAUUGAUUUCCUGAUUUCGGCCUUCGUGAUGGCGGAGGAGGAGGAGGAGGAGGAGAACGGGUCACAUCGUUGCUCCGGCGGGCCAUGCCGGAAGACGGGAAGGGAAGCACCCGGUCUGCGAUCGAGGAAGCGGAUUGAUGUUUAACUUUCCGCGGGAGGUGGCGGUGCGUGCCAUACCCAAGGAGGAGGACAAUGAAACGGCAAGUAAUGGAUGUUUCCCCCAAUGGAACAGAAGGAGGGAGAAAGACCAUUCCCCUUCCCGUCAAGUCUUGGGGAGGUGUACAAUGUUCCGUGUGAAAAGAAAGGUGGAGGAAGACGGCGUUUCUGAUCCGCCGGAGGUUUUUUUUACGAUUUUAACGA